CAGCCUUGUCGAAGUCCCUCUGCCACAUGAUGCCCCAACAUCGGCGUCCAGGGAACCACCAAACUCUGCAUGGUCACCAGCAAACGUCCAGACUCCACCUCCUCAGGACCGGCCAGAAGACAUACAAUGGGAGAACAUUCCAGAAAAAAGAGGCUUUUACCUGGAUUGAGGAUGGGACAAGUGCACCCUCUGCUGGUCCAUGACAGUGGGUAGAUGCUGUGUGUGCCCUGAGAAACCGACACCUUUCCUGAGCGCAAGACCUUCCUGACUUUGACCAGCACAACAGCAUGGCUCCCUUUGUCGUGGGCUGACAGGACGCUGGCUUUUAUUGCUGUGACAACCAGAGUGGCACUGCCCACUUCUGGGAUGGCAGCCGGGUGCCUGGUCUUUAGACUGUGGAGGAAUCGAUCCAACAGGAUCACACCAGCAACCUGAGAAAGAGAGCAACACAUGAGGUAUGGAUUUACUGACAGACAUCCAUUCGCGACUUGCGCUCUUCAGUGCUGCCUUGUAUGUUUGUUUUUGUAGUUACCACUUUUACCAGCAGAGGGAGUCAGACUGUUAGUUCGGAAUGAGGAUUUCGGACUUCAGAAACCCAAGGGUAAACACCACAACAAUGUCCUAUGUAUUAAC